rfam:Schistosoma haematobium scaffold163_94, whole genome shotgun sequence.
AUCCAGUUGACGAAUCUUAAAUAGGACGAAACACGCGUCAAAUCGGAU